rnacentral:lncRNA from 1 species
GAGUCUGCUGCUUCUCCCAGGGGGCAGAGGGUCAGUAUCCUGAGGAGGAGAAAAAAAAAAGCUGGGAGUCUCAGGAUCUGGUUCAGUAGCCUCAAAGUCGGUUCACUGAGAUCAGUGAGGAAAAAGAAGACUGACUCCCAUCAGACAAAACACAGCAUCCUCAAGAAAGUUGAAAUCACAGGAGUCUCUCUUUGCAUGGAAAAAGAAUGUGCUCAAAGAGAAGCCAACCCAGAACUUGAGAAGAUCAGUGAUGGGGAGUUCUUAAACUCAACAAAUAGGGUCUUAAAACUGAUCAGAGACCAACUAUCCUGGGAAUGGAUUCUUCCAGCUUUGGGAUUUGCUCAUGAGAAAAAUAUGUGAAAGAAAAUAUUUAGAGAUGGGGCUAUAAAGGUAUGUUGAAAUGGGUAGAACGACUGAAUCAAGUUAUAAUUAUUCAAAAGACAAUGGGGUAGAUUAUUCUUAAUUCAAGAUUUCUCAAGUUCAACAGUUCCUAUAAAAUCUUCAGAGGAAGAAUAGUUUCUUGACUGCUUGCAAUUUGGAGAAGGAAGACAUAGCCACAGCAUGAUGAGGCAGGGAAUUGGGACCUUGUCAACCUUCCCCAAUAUUGCUCUGAGUUGUUUAGAUGGUACAGAGCUCAGGUUAAUGAAAAGUAUUUAUUUAGUUGUUUUUUAAUUUAGUUGCUGUUUAGUUAUAGGUUAAUUGUAUUUAGUUUAAUUGUAAUUUAGUUAGACCUCAAAAAAAUAGAGGUCACUACCUCCUGGUAAUAUAUAAUGAAUGUAAUGGUCUACUUGAGAAUUUUCAGUUUCCUGUAUUAAGGCAUGCAUGAGGGUCCUUUCUCUGCAUCAUGCAUUUUUUGUGGUAAAAGGAAAAAAAAUUUUCUCAUACCCAAUAUUUAGAUUUUACAUCUAGACACUGGGUACCUUUGUGGUAAUGGGACACUAUUACCCACAUAGGAAGAAACCCAUAGCACAGAAAUAGUAAGCUAGAGCCAAAGGAAAAACUAUCUUAUCUCUGGGCUAAGAUUUCAUAAUUGGUCUCUGUAAGCCUAUGAGGUACAUAGGUAUAUAUAUGUGUGUACAAAGCCAUAGGCCAUAUGUAUGUGUUUCUUCUUUCCUUGUUAUAAAUUUCUUGAUAGAGGACUUAUAUAAUUGUUGUUGUUCUUCUUCAAUAACAUUUGAUUUUUCAUAACCCUAUAUGGGGUUUUCUUGGCAAAGAUAAUAAAAUUGUUUUCCAUUUCCUUCUCCAGCUCAUUUUACAAAUGAAACAAUUGAGGCUAACAGGGUUAAGUAACUUGACCAAUGACACAUAACUAUUAAGAGUCUGAGUCUACCUUUGAACUCAGGAAGAUGAAUUUUCCUCACUCUAAGUUCAGCACUCUAUCUAUUGCACCACCUAGUUGGAGAGGACUUAUGUCAUAUUUUCCUGAUACCUAGAACAGUAUCUUUCACAUAAUAAAUGCUUAAUAAAUAUUCAUUUAUUUCUUGAACUAUUUACACUAUAUAUAGGGGAUUGAGGAAAGGCAGAAAUCAAGGAUGAACUCCUCAUCUUAAAAUGGCCACACCAUGCAUUACUUUUAAGGUGGUCUCUGCUUUUUCAUACUUCAAAGCAUCUAGAUAAUGCAAUAGAGAGAAAGAUGGUUAUAGAGUGAAGAUGACCUGAGUUCAAAUCCUUCCUCAGUAUCUGUAUGACAUUGGGCUAGUCUGCUUCAUUUUUCUCAUCUGUAAAAUGGGAGUCAUAAUAUCCUCUUCCUCAGAAGAUUGUUAUAAAGAUAAAAUGAGAUAAUUAUUUGUAAAAAAUUCUACAAGCCUUACAGCACAAUGUAUUUCUUUUAUUAUUAUUCAGUAGUAUGAAGGUUCCAUGAGCUCGUGAGUAUGGAUCCUCCUUUCACUGAAGCAGGUCCAGUCCUAUCCAUAGCUAAUCCCACAAAUCCUCUAGAGGGGAUCUACCCAAUGCACUGGAGGAAUCCUCUAGCUCUCAGAUUAUCUGUUGAUAUUCCUCACUCUUGCUAUGUGAAUAUUUCAUUUCUUUUGAGCUUAGAUAAUAUAUAAAUAAUAUAUUUUAUAACACUUCUUACAGUGAAGUAAUAAGCUACACUCUCCUUGUGGCAACAUGCCUUUUCUCCAUUGUCCUUUGGACUAUCAACAAUUUUCAUUUAUAGGAUCAUAGGAUUAAUCCUUUAGAACUGUGAAAUCCCUUGAAUUGUACCUAUAUAAUAUCACCAGCAGAUAAUAUACAUUUAAAAUUGUUUUUCAUAAUUCCACUGCUGGUAAUGUUUUAGCAAAAGGAAGAGUUAUUUGAAGAUUCUUAUAACAGCAUUAAGUUUUAAAAGCAAAAAAAAAAUUGGAAACAACUUACAAGAAUGAUUAAAUGAAUUGUAAUAUAUUAAUGUAAUAAAAUAUUAUUCUCCAAUUAUGAUAGACAAAUAUAAGGGAUAGAAAGAAAUCUGGAAAGAUCAUUAUAAAAUCAUUUGAAAUGGAAAAAAGCAGAACCAGAAGAAUAGAGUGCACACUAAUUGCAACCAUAUGAAUGGAAAAAAUAAAUGGAAAUGAAUGAAUGAACAAAGAAUCCUCAUGGAAAUUUACAGUGCAUAACUGAAAAAUUAUUAAGACAGUUUAUGCUUUAAAAUUUAUUCAUGUACUUGUUCAUUUAGACAGAGAGAGGAAGGAAAGAAGGUUGUAGAAACUUAGGGAAGAAGGUGGUGAGAGAAAUAAUUUUGCUUUUUAUAGUAAUAACUAAUUAUUGAAUUAGGACUAAGGUUUUUUCAACUCUUUUCUACUUCCACAUUCAGUUUAGACAACUUUUGAAGUGUAGAACUAAUAAUGAAAAGAAAGACUGAUCAAAAGGUAAAGAAAUUUUAGUUUAGGUGAAUUGAAAAGAUUCUUGCACUUUGUGUUUUAUUCAGACAAAUCUGGAUAAAAGUAGAUUUCCCCUUUUUGUCUAGAUUACAUACCCUAGGUGAGGAAGAGAUGAGUAUAAAUAAGUCUCUAAUCAAGCCUGAGUGAUCAGAGUCCCUUCCCACUAGAAUUAGUGGGAAUAAGUCCUCAUUAGAACAAAUCCACUUCUCAUUAUGAUAUUCAUCUUCAUUAUUUGUUAACCAAUCACAGUUGAUUACCACCCUCAGGAACACCCACUCUUCCAAGGUCCUGUAAGCAUUGGAUGCUUUCCAUGUGGGGUCUUUGGGAUUUGAGAGUCCCACUGAAUUUUUAUUAAUUUUAUCUACUAGUGUGAUUAAUAAAAUUUUAAUUACCCAGAAACUAAGUCUCUCAAAUUUAUAUAUUAUAGUGGGAGGGAAGAAAGAAAGCAAGGAUAAAAGAAGACAGGGAAAGAAGGAAGGAAGGAAGGAAGAAGGAAGGAAGGAAGGAAGAAAGAAAGGAAGAAACAAGAAAGAAAGGAAGGAAAAAAGGAAGGAAGGAAAAUAGGGAAGAAGGGAGGGAGGGAAGAAAAGAGGGAAGGAGGUAGGGAGGAAAGGAGGAAGUAGGGAGGAAAAAGGAAAUACAUUCUUUGUGAAGGAACAGCUUGAAGUCUUUGAAAGUACUAUGCAAUUUUUUUCAAAUGCAAUCCCACCCUCCCUCUGCCUCCUCUUCAAGUCUGAGUCUGGAUCACUGUCCUUCUACUAAAUCUGUCCAAGUCUUAAUGUGAUAACUCAGUAGGUUCCUGAUGUAGCUAUUUUUCAUAGUCAUAGGUAUUUUUCAUCCUUUUGUAUUUUUUCCAAUAAAUAUUCUUAGUUCAAUCUCUUUUGAAUGCCCAUAGAGGCAUCUCUGUAGAGGUCUGAGGAACAAUGAAAGUCACAAAUAAGAGUUCAUGGAGAACUUCAUUCAAUAGAGAAAUAUCUCCUCUAUUUAGACUUUGCACAGGAUAUACCAUAAACAUUUGUGAUAAUCUACACCUUUCUCUUUUAUGUGAUGCUGGAUAUUGAUCAUCAAGAUUAUUGAAGAAAGGUCUCCCUGUUGUUGUACCCUUUGAAGAAUUUUGUAAGAUAUUAAAAUGUUUAUUGGAAAUACUUUGUUGAAGGACUGCCUUUAAAGUUAUGUCUUGCUCUAUUGAGGCAAGUUAUUUUUAUAAUAAUCAACAAACAUUAACUAUAAAGGGAUAUUAUAUUCUUUGAAUUCUAAAGUCAUUUUUUUCCUGUGAAGAAGUGGACAGCUAAUAGACCAAGUUAUAAUGAGGACAGAAUGACCCAACUUUUGUCCCAGUUUAUAUUCAAGGGAAGGGGUAAUAAUCUCAGUCUCUUUGUUCUUGGGAACCAUCCUUGAAAUAUCCUGAAACCUCAGUCCUCUCCUCCCACAUGAUCCCUAGAUGAAGAGAUAUCUCUUUUCAUAUCUCUGAACUUGGGUAGUGAUCAUUUGAGUGGAAAAGAGGGAAUGGAUGCAAAAAUUCAGUGGAGGUAGGAUGGACAACAUAUGAGAACUGAUUAGUUGUAUAUUAUAAAGGAGAGGGACAAAUCCAUGGUGACUCUCUUAAUUGCAAGCCUAAGAAGAGGCUCAGGUUUAGUAGAGAAGAUAAUGAAUUCCAUUUUUAUAUCUGUUGAAUUUUAGACAUUGUAAAAAUACCCAAGUAAAGAGCCUGGAGAUAGGGAAAAGGAGGAGAUGGGAAAAAAAAAAAAUAACAUGAGCAGUUAAUUCAAAAGUAUGGAAGUCUGGGCCUGUGGAUAACUUCAAUAAUCUCCUAAGAUUUUAUUGGGUUAUAUCAGAACCUAGUUCAUCAUGAUGACCUUGUACCCUCAGGAAAAAAAAAAUGUUAUGUUACCAUUUUCCUCUAAAGUGUGACUUGUUCUGGUAGGAAAAUGAUGCUGGAUUCUUGAAGGAUUCAUGUUAGCUCUCACCAAUUAUUAUUGGCCCAGCAAUGGACUCUGUUUGACUCCUGAGGUCCAGCAUUGCUAAAUUCAGAAAGGCUUAUCAGUAGAAGGCUUAUUGCUAGAGAAUUCUUUUUUUUUUAAUCUAUAGUAAGUCAUAAUGAUUAUCUGCAGUGAUACAGAUUCAAUACAAGGCAACAGCACUUGUUAAGCAGUUACUAUGUACUAGGCACUCUGCUAAGGACUGGAGAUAAAGUAUAAGCCUUCCUCAAGAAGGAUCCCUAAUAGGGGGACAUUAUACAAAAGGAAGAUAGUUAGUUGGGGCUAAG